GGCCACUCCAUGAAUAUAUACUAAAAUUGGAACAAUGCAGAGAUCAGUAUGAACCCUGCGCAAGGAUAACGCACAGAUCUGUGAAGCAUAGCAAAGUUUU
rnacentral:snRNA from 1 species